ensembl:snoRNA
UACCCCCUUUUCACUUUGCCAAUUGGACUUAAUGUCUUUAUUGGUCAUUCAAGUGGGGCAAAGGAAAUAAUCCUUUUAAAACUCAGGCAAACUGGGUGUUUGUCUUGUAUCCUGUCAGAGGAAACAUUG